GGCUCUGCGUAUCCCCUCACCCAGCACCGCACACACCGGGGCACUGGCCGGCCUGUCAACUCUGGAGCCUUCCUGCAGCCCCACGCGGACAGGAGAACAAGUCAACAACCGAGGGGACACGUGAUUGCGAGCAGAGGGGAGAGAGUAAGCUGACUCAUACAGACACUGGAAAAUAGGCACUGGAUGUUCAAACAGCAACCACAUACCUUCUGUUCAAAUUAUUUCAAAUCUAAAACUGCUCUAAAAAAUAAAGUCUAUUAAAAAAUUAAUCACUCUC